UACUGAGGUGGCAAGCGUUGUUCGGAAUUACUGGGCGUAAAGGGCGCGUAGGUGGCCUUUUGAGUCAGACGUGAAAUCCCCCGGCUUAACCUGGGAACUGCGUCUGAUACUGGAAGGCUUGAGUUCGGGAGAGGGAUGCGGAAUUCCAGGUGUAGCGGUGAAAUGCGUAGAUAUCUGGAGGAACACCGGUGGCGAAGGCGAGUCCCUGGACAACUCCUGACACUGAGGCACGAAAGCUAGGGGAGCAAACAGG
rnacentral:rRNA from 1 species